rnacentral:lncRNA from 1 species
UUUCUUAUAAAACAAUAUUUAUAGAGUUACUGGUAAAUAAUUUUUGUAGCGUAAAAGCUAAAUAAAUUCAUACAUACUGUAAUACAGAUAACCAAAGCAUAAGAUUUAAUUUACAGUGACACGUGGGCUCGCGAAUGACAAAAAAAUAUCAAAAGUUGUAAACCUGCAGUUUUUGAAGAUGCAAGUACAACUGUAGCCCUCAACAAAGUGAGCUAUCUACCGACUAUCCUGAGCCUGAAAAGGGUGGAAAGGAGGGUGGUGAGAUUAUAUAAUCCCAGUGAGUAAACAAAUAUCAUCUAAAAUAUCUAAAGUCGAGUAAAUGGAGACAGAUAAAAUAGUUUAACAUACUGUAAUUCAUCACUUUUCAACUUGUUUCAACCAAAUAAAAUCAAUUCAUAUAAAUCGAGUAAUCAACAUGGUUUAUGAAUUUCUUAAAACUUUGGCUCGUGCCAAAAUCAUUCUUAUACUUAGUUAUCAGGGAUUCCUUGGCCGAGGGCUAUUCCAGCCGAGUUCGCCAAGGCUGUUAAAAAAAUUAUGUACACAUAAAUCAUGUUUUCAUUUUGAAAACAUAGUCGUUUCUUGGCGUUGGCUGAGUUCACCCUCACAUGGUGGUUUAGUGUGAAGUGAACUCUAAAGUGUUAACCUCAGGAGUUAUCCAUCCACGCCUCUCAUACUGAGGAAUGAAUAUAAUAGGGUUACUGUGCUCCUCUAAUAGGCUGGUCCACGGAACACGCCCACUGCAACGACUAAUUUAUAACCCACCAUAUAAUAAAAUUUGCAAUAGCAUGACAUGGCAAUUAUUUUAUUUAAUAGCCUCUCAAGGCAAAUUAACAGUUCAUAUAUUUUCAACACAAAUACCAAUUCAGCCAUUCAUGCAAAUAUUAUCAUAAGCCAUUCAAUUCAAACCAUGAUUUAUAACAUAGCAAUUAGUCUCCAAUUACUCCAUUUUCAAAACCAUCUUUCAAUUUUAAGACAAUUUAUAAAAUCAUUUCAUUUAAACACAUUUUGUUUAUAAAACCUAAAAAUUUACCGUUUAAACUCAUUUUCUAUAAAAUCAUAAAAUCGGAUAAAAACUACUUUAGAUAAUUAAGACGAUAGUAAGGUUACUCACUAUUUCGGGAGUCGAAUUCUGAGUACUCUGAUUCUUGAUCCUCGGGUACUAUCUCUUUACUUUUGCCAGAAUG